ensembl:lncRNA
CACACACACACACACACACACGCACACACACACGUAGGCAAGUGACCAUCAAAGCAGACCUUGGGCUAACGUGUGUGUGCGUGUGUCUUCACAGUGAUCAUAGCAACGCUGAGUAAACAUGCUGACAUAUUAAACCUGGGUCACAUGACCUCUCCUCUGAUAAAAGGACCCUCAGCACCUCGGACAGCGCCGACUCCUUCACCCUCUGAACGGCCGGUUCUGAUGCUUCACUGGUCUGAGCUGCGUUAGUCCCACCGGCCCGUGAGGGCGUUUCUCUUCUUUACUUUCUGUGAAUGUCGUUUUGAGCAAAUGGCAGAUGUUUGUCGUGUCAGGAGGAGGCGUGAUCAUCUGCAGACGGGAGAGUCGAAGCAGGACGAUUCACGAACAAAUGAUUAAUGGUGUUUUCAUUCAGUCCCUGGAAUCGUAUUGAUCUGUUAUUGGUCUGGUCUGUUCCUCAAGCUUGAAGCUCUGACUUUUCUCUUCUAUUUUUAGACGUUUUAUAAAGUAAAGAAUGAAUCGAUAUGUACAGGAAAACAUCCGCAGAUGAAUUACUGAUUGAACGUAAACAUUCUUAUCAGAAUAUGUAACAUCACUAAACCUGCCCCCCCCUGAUCCCCCUUUGACUCAAAAAGUCAAAAGAUAUUAGGUCAAUAUUCAAAAUAUGUUUGUUAAAAAAGUCCAAAAAUAUUAUGUCAAAAUAUUUCAGGCCAAAAAAAGGUUCAAUGUUUUGAAAAAUAUAUAUAUAUAUAUAUAUAAAGUUGAAAAACUCAUAUCAAAUCAAAAUAUGUUAGGUCCAAACAUUCAGGGAAAGAAAAAUGUCAACAACAAGAAAUAUCGGGUCAAACUUUUCACCAAAAAAAAAGUUUAAAAAAUGUUCAUGAAAAUGAAGUCACUGAAAAAGUGUUUUGAUGUUUUGAGAAAAAGUCAAAAUAUGUUGUGUGGAAAAAAGUCUAAAAAUUAUGGAAAAUGGUCGGAAAAUAUUUUAGUUCAAAAGUCAAAAUAUCAUCGAAUAAUAUCAUGGAUCAAAAAAGUAAAAAAAUCUUAGGUCAAAAUAUGUUUUGAAAAAAACCUUCAGCCGUGAAUCAGAUACCUGACGAAUAAUCCUGAUUCCUCCUGUUGCUGCUGUCUCACUGACUCCGACUAGUGUUUCCAUGGCGAUGACGCUUCGCUGCGUCAUGAGUAAGCACCACGAGGUGUGUGUCUGUCUGUGUGUCUGUGCGUCUGUGUGUGUGUGUGUGUGUGUCUCACUUAGACGUGCUAAGAAUCCAAAGGUGAUGCUGCACUCCCAAGCGUCUUCUAACACACACACACACACACUAAUCACCCUGCCGCCUCACGUAGAUGUGAUAAUAGCUAAUUCAUCAUUGUGUAGGAAUAUUCCCUGCGUGUGUUUGUGCGUUUGUGUGUGUGUCUCUUUCCUUUAAUGUCAAGUCCAGCGAUGCAGAUCAGAGCAGACUUACAUUCACUGAUUAGACAAAGACACACACUCACCGACGACUCUCUCAAACCUCACAUGGAUGCAAACCACACACACACACACACACACACACACACACACACACAAUACAGCCUGAAACACAAAGACCUGCCCAAUUAAGAAGACUGAUGUAGCGCAACAAAUUCAAUUAUAUCUCAUUGUAUAAUUACAUGUGACUAAAUUAAAGGCAGGAAGGAUGGAAGGAAGGAAGGAAGGAGGAGAAGGUCUCAACCUGAACAUCAUAGCGUGAUGGAGGGAGAGGAGAGGAGAGGAGGUUCAAACCAGACCGACGAGGCUGAAAGGGAGGAGCGGCACGCGAGAAUCCUCCACCGUUACUGAGUGAGGGAUGAAGGAGAGAAGGUGGAGGAAGGAACAGAGGGUUUAUGGAGGCGAUGAAGGGUGGACGGACGGAGGGGACGACGGUGGAGAUAAACGAGAAGACCGAGAGGUGGAAUAGAACGUCUGCUGAGAGCAUGCCAGAGAGGAUUAUGGGAAGGAAGGAGAAUUAAAGAAAAAAUGAAUAAACCUGAAGAGAAGGAUGAAGAGGAACAGAGGAAGAGGAGGGAUUAGGGGGGGGGGGGUGCUCCCCCAGGAUGGGUUGUAGCACCGGGAGUUGAGAUAUUUUCAGUUCAGCCAGCGGUCUCCUCUCCUCGCUGUUGGUUCUAUCUUUAGAGCGUUACACAACAAAGGUUCUCAUCACCGGCCAACAUGGUUCCACUCAGCAAAUGAAGAUAAUGGAAGGUGAUGAAGAUGAUGGAAGAUAAUGGAAGGUGAUGAAGAUAAUGGAAGGUGAUGAAGAUGAUGGUAGGGGAUGAAGAUGAUGGUAGGUGAUGAAGAUGAUGGUAGGGGAUGAAGAUAUGGAAAGAUAAUGGAAGGUGAUGAAGAAAAUGGAAGGUGAUGAAGAUGAUGGUAGGGGAUGCCUGAGAAUCAGAAGUGUUCAGAAGGUCAAUUGGAGACUUUUCGUAUUGCUUUUGUCAAAUAGCUGCAGAUGUUGCAGAUGUUGUGCAUCUGGAUGGAGGUCAAGAAAACCCAGAUGAAAGGAGGUGGAGCGAAAUAUUUAAGAACUGUAACAGAGAAGAUUUGGGGGUGGGGGGGUGGAGGCUGAUGGAGGGCAGGAGUGAUGGAGCGAGAACAGCUGGAGGGCAGAGAGCGUGAUGGAGGGAGCUUAAAGAGAGGGAGAAAUGGAUGGAUGAAGUAACGAGGAGAGGGGAGGCACAUAGAGAGAGAACUUUCUCCCAUUGGAGACUGAGCUGCAACUGAGCUUUAAUGCUUAAUGUAACAUGUUCAUGUGGUCAUAUGUUCAUGGUUCAUAUGUUCAUGUUUCAUGUGUUCAUAUGUUCAUGUUAUCUGUGUUCAUUUU